rnacentral:lncRNA from 10 species
CUCAGCCUCCCAAAGUGCUGGGAUUAUAGGCAUGAGCCACUGCACCCAGGCCUGAUUUGUGUUUUUCAAAGAUUACUCUGACCGCAGUAUGGCGAAUGGACUAAGGGCAGGGAGAUCGCUUGGAUUGUUGUUGUCUUCUUGGCAAGAGAUGAUGGUGUCCUGACCUAAGGACGAAGCUGUGGGAAUGGAAAGAAGUGGAUGGACUCUGGAUAAUUUGGAACGUAGAAUCCCCAGGAUUUGGGAUAGGGGUAAGGGAAGGAGUGCUCCCAGAUACCUAUUGAUGUUCAGAUUCUAGCUUAGGAAGCUAGUGGCAGGUGAGCCCUUCAUCAAAAAAAUGAAAUACAAGAGGAGAGAAGAAGGUUUUGGGAACUGGUGUGUAUAGGAAAUAAGUUUUUAUACUUAAGUUUGAGGUCAGCUGAUAAAAAGGUCAGCUCCAGAAGUUAUUUCCUUUAGUGAUUAGGAAUAUAAAGUAGGGGCCGGGCGUGGUGGCUCACACAUGUAAUCCCAGCACUUUGGGAAGCUGAAGAGGGCCGAUCACCUGAGGGCAGGAGUUCAAGACCUGCCUGGCCAACAUGGCAAAACCCCAUCUCUACUAAAAAUACAAAAAUUAGGCCGG